rnacentral:rRNA from 1 species
CCUACGGGAGGCUGCAGUGGGGAAUAUUGGGCAAUGGGCGCAAGCCUGACCCAGCAACGCCGCGUGAAGGAAGAAGGCUUUCGGGUUGUAAACUUCUUUUAAGAGGGAAGAGAAGAAGACGGUACCUCUUGAAUAAGCCACGGCUAACUACGUGCCAGCAGCCGCGGUAAUACGUAGGUGGCAAGCGUUGUCCGGAUUUACUGGGUUUAAAGGGCGUGCAGCCGGGCUGACAAGUCAGAUGUGAAAUCCCGCGGCUCAACCGCGGAACUGCAUUUGAAACUGUCAGUCUUGAGUGCCGGCAAGGACACCGGAAUUCCUGGUGUAGCGGUGAAAUGCGUAGAUAUAAGGAAGAACACCAGUGGCGAAGGCGGAUGACUGGACUGCAACUGACGGUGAGGCGCGAAAGCGUGGGGAGCAAACAGGAUUAGAUACCCUAGUAGUC